UGGCUUUCAAAAAAUGACAUUUCCUUCUGGCAGGCCUCUCUCGGUCCCCGCCCAGAGAAAAUGCCUCUCAGCCUACUAUCACAGGCUGUUUUUGUAAUGUAACAAUGUGUCCAGACUGUAUUAGGAAUAUGGCUGUAAACCUGCAGGCUAGAAAAGCUUUGUAACCAUGCAUUCACCCGUGUAUCUCCUAGGCCAUGACGAAGCAAUCGUACUGAGUACACCAGGCCAUCAUGAAGCAUUCACCCUUCAUUGGUUACUGGACAACAAGAGAGUUUGAACAGUUAAGUGUUCUGGGGACCAAACCUUAUACAUGGAUUUUCAAUUGUGGGCAGGGUGGAACCCCGAACACCAAGUUGUUCUACGGUCAGCUCUACUCAUCCUUGGGGAAGAACGAAGCAAGCACGACCUUUGUGAACAACAGAAAAGAGGAAAAUAGAAAUAGAUUUUCUGUUUUAA